rnacentral:rRNA from 1 species
UCGAGAAUCUUCGGCAAUGGACGCAAGUCUGACCGAGCAACGCCGCGUGCGGGAUGAAGGCCCUCGGGUUGUAAACCGCUGUCAGUUGGGAGGAAAUCCGGGAGGGCUAUCCCUCUCGGUUGACCGAUCUUCAGAGGAAGGACGGGCUAAGUUCGUGCCAGCAGCCGCGGUAACACGAACCGUCCAAACGUUAUUCGGUAUCACUGGGCUUAAAGGGUGCGUAGGCGGCCUGGUAGGUGAGAUGUGAAAGCCCACGGCCCAACCGUGGAAUUGCGUUUCAAACCAUCAGGCUUGAGGGAGAUAGAGGUGAGCGGAACUAGCGGUGGAGCGGUGAAAUGCGUUGAUAUCGCUGGGAACACCUGUGGCGAAGGCGGCUCACUGGGUCUCUUCUGACGCUGAGGCACGAAAGCUAGGGUAGCGAACGGGAUUAGAUACCCCCGUAGUCC